GAAAUAGCUCAGUUUGGUAGAGCACUUGGUUUGGGACCAAGGGGUCGCAGGUUCGAAUCCUGUUUUCC
rnacentral:tRNA from 2 species